UGCGUUCCGUUUGUACUCGGAACUGGGAUUAUCCAAGGUCAAAGUCGGAAAGACGCCCCCCUGAACUCGGAUUUUCGAGCUUGAAACUCGGGCAACCACCGAGUGCCCCAAGCUCAAAAUCCAUCAAUGCUGCGCUGUGCAUCAACAGUUUUGCAAGCUGUAGAAACAUACAGUUCUAAGCACUUCUGUGUUAUUUGUAUCUCACUAAAUCAGUCGUACACACAGUACUGUCCAACUUCUAUCUGUGGACAUGUUGCUACGCUCUUAAUGUAGUGC